rnacentral:miRNA from 1 species
UUUGUUUUGUUUUUUUUUGU